rnacentral:rRNA from 1 species
UACGAAGGGGGCUAGCGUUGCUCGGAAUCACUGGGCGGAAAGGGUGCGUAGGCGGGGCUUUAAGUCAGGGGUGAAAUCCUGGAGCUCAACUCCAGAACUGCCUUUGAUACUGAAGAUCUUGAGUUCGGGAGAGGUGAGUGGAACUGCGAGUGUAGAGGUGAAAUUCGUAGAUAUUCGCAAGAACACCAGUGGCGAAGGCGGCUCACUGGCCCGAUACUGACGCUGAGGCACGAAAGCGUGGGGAGCAAACAGG